GAUGAACGCUGGCGGCGUGCCUAAUACAUGCAAGUCGAGCGAACGGACGAGAAGCUUGCUUCUCUGAUGUUAGCGGCGGACGGGUGAGUAACACGUGGAUAACCCACCUAUAAGACUGGGAUAACUUCGGGAAACCGGAGCUAAUACCGGAUAAUAUUUUGAACCGCAUGGUUCAACAGUGAAAGACGGUUUUGCUGUCACUUAUAGAUGGAUCCGCGCUGCAUUAGCUAGUUGGUAAGGUAACGGCUUACCAAGGCAACGAUGCGUAGCCGACCUGAGAGGGUGAUCGGCCACACUGGAACUGAGACACGGUCCAGACUCCUACGGGAGGCAGCAGUAGGGAAUCUUCCGCAAUGGGCGAAAGCCUGACGGAGCAACGCCGCGUGAGUGAUGAAGGUCUUCGGAUCGUAAAACUCUGUUAUUAGGGAAGAACAUAUGUGUAAGUAACUGUGCACAUCUUGACGGUACCUAAUCAGAAAGCCACGGCUAACUACGUG
rnacentral:rRNA from 1 species